rnacentral:tRNA from 1 species
UGGGGUGUAACUUAGUGGUAGAGUGCUUACCUAGCAUGCAUAAGUACCCAGGUUCAAUUCCUAGCACUGCAA